rnacentral:rRNA from 1 species
UACGGAGGAUGCAAGCAUUAUCCGGAUUUAUUGGGUUUAAAGGGUCGCAGGUUGUUUGAUAAGUCAGUGGUGAAAGUCUGUCGCUUAACGGUAGGAUUGCCAUUGAUACUGUUAGACUUGAAUAUGGAUGAGGUAGGCGGAAUGUGUAGUGUAGCGGUGAAAUGCAUAGAUAUUACACAGAACACCGAUUGCGAAGGCAGCUUACUAAUCCAUCAUUGACGCUGAGGCACGAAAGCGUGGGGAGUCAAACA